rnacentral:rRNA from 1 species
CCUACGGGAGGCAGCAGUGGGGAAUAUUGCGCAAUGGGGGAAACCCUGACGCAGCGACGCCGUGUGAGUGAUGAAGGUCUUCGGAUCGUAAAGCUCUGUCGGAUGGGACGAAUGAGGACCGGGUGAAUAAUCCGGUCUGAUGACGGUACCGUCGAAGGAAGCACCGGCUAACUCCGUGCCAGCAGCCGCGGUAAUACGGAGGGUGCGAGCGUUGUUCGGAAUUACUGGGCGUAAAGGGCGUGUAGGCGGGUAUAUAAGUCAGAUGUAAAAUACCUUAGCUUAACUAAGGAAGUGCAUCUGAAACUGUAUAUCUUGAGUACGAUAGAGGAGAGUGGAAUUCCCAGUGUAGAGGUGAAAUUCAUAGAUAUUGGGAAGAACACCGGUGGCGAGGGCGGCUCUCUGGAUCGAUACUGACGCUGAUACGCGAAAGCGUGGGGAGCAAACAGGAUUAGAUCCCCCUGUAGU